CCGCAUUAGCGCAGCAGGCGCACGGCAGAAAGCCCCGGCAAGUGGCGUCACUGCUGGGGAUGCUGCGGCCGGCUGGGCUCUGGCGCCUGUGCCUGCGACCUCGGACGGCGGGGGUCUCUACGGAGAACCUUGGCCGUAGGAAGGUCGCCUCUGCUGUCCCUCCCCGCGGCGGCACCUCGCCCAGAGCCCUAAACAUCUUCGACCGGGAUCUGAAAAGGAAACAGAAGAACUGGGCGGCCCGGCAGCCAGAGCCGAUGAAAUUUGACUACCUGAAGGAGGAGGUUGGAAGUAGGAUCGCGGACCGUGUAUAUGACAUAGCCAGAGAUUUCCCUCUUGCUUUGGAUCUUGGCUGUGGAAGAGGUUACAUAGCACAACACUUGAAUAAGGAAACUAUUGGAAAGUUUUUCCAAGCUGACAUUGCAGAAAAUGCUUUGAAAAAUUCAUUAGAAACGGAAAUUCCUACUGUCAGUGUUUUAGCAGAUGAAGAAUUCCUUCCCUUCAGAGAAAAUACAUUUGACCUGGUGGUUAGCAGUUUAAGUUUGCACUGGGUGAAUGACCUUCCUAGAGCUCUUGAGCAGAUUCAUUAUGUUUUAAAACCAGAUGGAGUAUUUAUUGGUGCAAUGUUUGGAGGCGACACACUUUAUGAACUUCGGUGUUCCUUACAGUUAGCAGAAACGGAAAGGGAAGGAGGAUUUUCUCCACACAUUUCGCCUUUCAUUGCUGUCAGUGACCUAGGACAUCUUCUUGGGAGAGCUGGCUUUAAUACCCUGACUGUGGACACUGAUGAAAUUCAAGUUAAUUAUCCUGGAAUGUUUGAAUUGAUGGAAGAUUUACAAGAAAAAAAAUCCAGAAUGUUGACCUAAUUUUACAAAACAAGUUGUAUUAUCAGCCGAUGAAUGCAUGAGACAUUUUCAAGGCUUUCACAGUGGUUUUAAGGGAUGGGUGAGAGCAACUGCUCUUGGAAUAGAAGAGCGCUGCUGCACCGAGACACAAUGCUGGCGGCUGCUGCGGUGUACAGAGAAAUGUACGGGAAUGAGGAUGGUUCUGUGCCUGCCACAUACCAGAUCUACCACAUGAUUGGGUGGAAAUACCAUGAGUCUCAGGCAAGACCAGCUGAAAGAGGUUCAGCAACAGUGUCGUUUGGAGAGCUGAGACAAAUAAACAAUCUUAUGUCACGGGGGGAAAAAUCAUAAUAAAUAUUUUAUUCAAUGUU